AGCUUACCCGUACCCUGGGCGCGCAGAAGGGCUCCACUAAGGGUGACCUCCAGGUAGAGAUCCUUCCUCCUUGGGAGUCAGCCCUUACAUGGGGUCUAGCAGGGCUGCAGCCAGGGUCCACCCCUUCCGGUCACUCAGCUGAAACUGCCAUCACCUGUGCCCCUGCAGCUGACUCAGCACUCGCCUCAGGUGGUCAAACAGAGGGUCAGGCUGUGAUUAUACAGUUCCCAUACACCUGUAGAGCAGGAGACAAAUCCAGCCUAGUUCAGGUGCAGCUGAAAGCUGUCCUCAGCCAAAGCCUCAGCAGUUACCAGAAUGCAAACAAAGCUAUUCUUCAUGCGUUCCUUUUUUAAGUUGAUC
ensembl:lncRNA